rnacentral:rRNA from 1 species
ACGAACGCUGGCGGCGUGCUUCACACAUGCAAGUCGAACGGAAAGGCCCUGCUUGCCGGGUACUCGAGUGGCGAACGGGUGAGUAACACGUGGGUGAUCUGCCCUGCACUUCGGGAUAAGCCUGGGAAACUGGGUCUAAUACCGGAUAGGAGCCAUUUUUAGUGUGAUGGUUGGAAAGUUUUUUCGGUGUAGGAUGAGCUCGCGGCCUAUCAGCUUGUUGGUGGGGUAAUGGCCUACCAAGGCGGCGACGGGUAGCCGGCCUGAGAGGGUGGACGGCCACAUUGGGACUGAGAUACGGCCCAGACUCCUACGGGAGGCAGCAGUGGGGAAUAUUGCACAAUGGGCGCAAGCCUGAUGCAGCGACGCCGCGUGGGGGAUGACGGCCUUCGGGUUGUAAACUCCUUUCGCUAGGGACGAAGCUUUUGUGACGGUACCUAGAUAAGAAGCACCGGCUAACUACGUG